UNGGAUUAAGGGUGUGUACCACCAUGCCUA
rnacentral:piRNA from 1 species